rnacentral:rRNA from 1 species
AUACGGAGGGUGCAAGCGUUGUCCGGAUUUAUUGGGUUUAAAGGGUGCGUAGGCGGAUAUAUAAGUCAGUGGUGAAAUACUUCAGCUCAACUGGAGAGGUGCCAUAGAAACUGUAUAUCUUGAGUGAAGUCGAAGUAGGCGGAAUUGAUGGUGUAGCGGUGAAAUGCAUAGAUAUCAUCAAGAACACCGAUAGCGAAGGCAGCUUACUUGGUUUCAACUGACGCUGAUGCACGAAAGCGUGGGGAGCGAACAGGAUUAGAUACCCGAGUAGUCC